CCUACGGGGGGCAGCAGUGGGGAAUAUUGCACAAUGGGCGAAAGCCUGAUGCAGCAACGCCGCGUGAAGGAAGACGGUUUUCGGAUUGUAAAGUUCUGUGAUGGGGGAUGAACACAAUGACGGUACCCCAAUAGCAAGCCACGGCUAACUACGUGCCAGCAGCCGCGGUAAUACGUAGGUGGCAAGCGUUAUCCGGAAUGACUGGGCGUAAAGGGUGCGUAGGUGGUUUAGUAAGUUGGCGGUGUAAUUCCGGGGCUCAACCUCGGCGCUACCGCCAAAACUAUUAGACUAGAGUGCAGGGGGGGUAAGUGGAAUUCCUAGUGUAGCGGUGGAAUGCGUAGAUAUUAGGAGGAACAUCAGGGGCGAAGGCGACUUACUGGACUGUAACUGACACUGAGGCACGAAAGCGUGGGGAGCAAACAGGAUUAGAUACCCUUGUAGUC
rnacentral:rRNA from 1 species